ensembl:snoRNA
UGGACAGGUGCAAAAAAAUAAAUCCUCUUCUGCAACCCAGAACUCAUUGUUUAGAAGAGUUGUGAUAUAUAUAAUAAGGAAUAUU